rnacentral:rRNA from 1 species
GUAGGGUCCGAGCGUUAUCCGGAAUCAUUGGGGCGUAAAGAGCUCGUAGGCGGUUCAGCAAGUCGGCUGUGAAAGUUCAGGGCUCAACCUCGAAAUUGCAGUCGAUACUGCUGUGACUUGAAUUCGGUAGAGGAGAAUGGAAUUCCCGGUGUAGCGGUGAAAUGCGCAGAUAUCGGGAGGAACACCAGUAGCGAAGGCGGUUCUCUGGGCCGAUAUUGACGCUGAGGAGCGAAAGCGUGGGGAGCAAACAGGAUUAGAUACCCUGGUAGUCCACGCCGUAAACGUUGGAUGCUAGGUGUGGCGGUCUACCAACGACUGCCGUGCCGAAGCUAACGCAUUAAGCAUCCCGCCUGGGGAGUACGGCCGCAAGGCUA